rnacentral:misc_RNA from 1 species
GACGAAGGAUGCAAGCGUUAUCCGGAUUCAUUGGGUUUAAAGGGAGCGUAGGCGGAUCUGUAAGUCAGUGGUGAAAUCUCUCGCUUUACGAAGAAACUGCCAUUGAUACUGCAGAUCUAGAGUACAGUUGCCGUUGGCGGAAUAUGACAUGUAGUGGUGAAAUACUUAGAUAUGUCAUAGAACACCGAUUGCGAAGGCAGCUAACGAAGCUGUAACUGACACUGAGGCUCGAAAGUGUGGGGAUCAAACAGG